AUUGAACGCUGGCGGCAUGCCUUACACAUGCAAGUCGAACGGUAACAGGUCUUCGGAUGCUGACGAGUGGCGAACGGGUGAGUAAUACAUCGGAACGUGCCUAGUAGUGGGGGAUAACUACUCGAAAGAGUGGCUAAUACCGCAUGAGAUCUACGGAUGAAAGCAGGGGAUCGCAAGAACUUGUGCUACUAGAGCGGCCGAUGGCAGAUUAGGUAGUUGGUGGGAUAAAAGCUUACCAAGCCGACGAUCUGUAGCUGGUCUGAGAGGACGAUCAGCCACACUGGGACUGAGACACGGCCCAGACUCCUACGGGAGGCAGCAGUGGGGAAUUUUGGACAAUGGGCGCAAGCCUGAUCCAGCAAUGCCGCGUGCAGGAUGAAGGCCUUCGGGUUGUAAACUGCUUUUGUACGGAACGAAAAGCCCUGGGUUAAUACCCUGGGGUCAUGACGGUACCGUAAGAAUAAGCACCGGCUAACUACGUGCCAGCAGCCGCGGUAA
rnacentral:rRNA from 1 species